AGGAACACACUCCCCCAUAUCUCUCUCUCUCUCACCCUCCCUUCAGAUCCCUUCCAUUUCCAAGUUCCAACCCUCUUCCUCUUCUUCUGCGCCUCCACUUUCCCAUUUUCACUUCCAGUUUCCUUCACUCAAAAACACACAUCUCACAGAGAAGAAGAAGAAGCAGAAGCAGAAGCAGAAGCAGAAGAAGAAAACAAAAAUCUCCUACACUAGUUGUGUUCGAGAAUUUUCCGUAUUAGGUUUCAUUUCGUUUCUGUGAAGAAGAUCUGGGUGAUCUGAACCACUGAACAACAAUCUGGGUGGUUGAUUGAAUCAACGAGGUUGUUGUGGGGAAUCUACUUGUUCAAUUUUGGUUCAUUUGUGAGUUGUGAUCGAUUUCUGAUACCUUUGUAGUGGAUCAUCAUCAUAGAAUUGUGAUCUGUUUGUGUUAUCUAUGGAGAUGCUUGUUGUGGCACAGCACAGGUCUAAGUCUCAAGGCCAUGGUGGAUUUGGGUAUCCUUCACCUUCAAGGCAUUUCAGAGGGAUGAAUUGUAGGGCUUUUCAAACUGGAUCUGGUAUUCUACCAACUCCAUUGAAAUCUUGCACCACACCUGAACCUAAAAAAACAUCCUCAGCUUCAUCAAAAACAGUUUUAACUACUCCGAACUCGAACCCGCGGACCAAAACCCGUUGCAAAACUACCCCCGGCAGUGCCCCGGUUGCUAUCAAAGUGAAAGGCUGUAAGAAGGAGAGAAUUUUCUGUGAGAAUGUUUGUGAUAGGAGCUUUUUGCUAUCUGAACUUUGGGCUGGACCUACUUACUCAAAUUCACCGCCACCGAGUUCCUUGCCUAUCCCGAAAUUCUCUGUUAAACCGAAGAGGACUGUUUCCCUUGAUCUGCCUAGUUCCUGCCCUAAGAUUGAAAUGCACCUAAUGGCCAAGUCUGCACCUUGCUCCCCUCGCCGGGAGUAUUCUCCUUCUGCCAGUGAUUUCCUUGCCAAUGCUGAUUCUGCGACCAAGACUUUGCGUCGCAUUCUCAACCUUGACUUGGAUGAUGAUGAAUGAAACUCCGUGAGAAGCCGUUUACUGUAAAUAAGCCUCUUUUAAAUUAAGUUGGGUUAGUUUUAGAUUAGAUGUGAAUAGAGUGACUAAAUAAGAGUUAUGGUCUGAGUUGGUUUGAGUUUGUGUAGCUUUCAGUAAUGGUGGUGACUGCACCUACAAUGGUGAAGUGAUAAUUUAUGGCUGUGGUGGGUCGACAAUCUCCAUCAAAGCUUAAAGCCUUAAACGGUAUGUGGGAUGUGAGGCUCUUUUGGAGCAGGUUUUGCUAUGUGUGACUCAUGUGACAUGGAUGGAAGCUUCUGCUGGGGAAAUGGGUGGGAAGCAGAAUGAUAGCAAUGGAUCAGAGUUGCAUGGAAUGGACAUGGUUGUCGGUGUUUUAUUUCAUUUGGCCUGAAGAAGUUAUUAGUAUUUUAACUGAAUCCUGAAUUCAUGGUAUGUAGUUCACAGCAUCAUCUCCUCGUAGAAUGAUUAACCUCUUGCCUCAGUACAUACUGUAGAUUGUAGAGUCCUGCACUUACAAAAACCCUUUUAGAGCUCAAUCCUUUUCUUCUUUAGCCUCCUUCAAAUUUUAGUUUCUUAUUUAUAGUCUUCUAGAUGAUCUACUCUUUACAAGCCAGCAGUUACUACCUUGCCUACUUAUCCUUCUUUUCUCCCUUAACCUAUCUUUUGUUUCUCUUCUUUUAAUUUCUCUUUUCUUUAGCUUAUCCCUUCACAUCUUUUCUGUUUUUUUACAAAGAAAAGUUGGAAGGGUUUUAGUUAUAUAAUCUUCUGCAGCUGGCUGCUUUAGUUUUCUAGGGUUAAUCAGUGUUAUGCAACCUGUUAGUUACUACUAGCCCUUUAUGAUGUUUUCCAUACCUUUGGUUAAUGCUUCUUUCCUUAGUCUUCACCUGGCUUACUGUCGAUGGAGAGUGUUGACCGUGCUAUGCCGAAAUUAAGGUGCAAGUGAAACUGUACCGAGGCUGCUUCGUUCAAAGACGUGGUCAUGGCAUGAUCAUUCAAUUUACUGGUUAGAUUGCAAGUCUGUUUGUGUUUGUCUUCAUGGAAGUUCCUUGUGGUUUGUAAAUUUCCUAGUGUUUAUUUCUUUGUGCUUCGGUAACUGGUGGAACUUGUAGGAUCUGCUGAAAUAAAUCGUUGUGUACUAUUAUCUAUUAUCUAUGGACUGUGUUAUAUCUGAAUUAAGAACUAAGUACUUGAUUUAUGUUACAUUUCUUUGAACA